UACGUAGGGUCCGAGCGUUGUCCGGAUUUAUUGGGCGUAAAGAGCUCGUAGGCGGUUUCGUAAGUCGGAUGUGAAAACUCAGGGCUCAACCCGGAGACGCCAUCCGAUACUGCGAUGACUGGAGUCUGGUAGGGGAUCACGGAAUACCUGGUGUAGCGGUGAAAUGCGCAGAUAUCAGGUGGAACACCGAUGGCGAAGGCAGUGAUCUGGGCCAGUACUGACGCUGAGGCACGAAAGCGUGGGGAUCAAACAGG
rnacentral:rRNA from 1 species